GUAUUAUAAAAUUUGCGAUUCUCAGCUGCAUGUUUUACCAUGUCACCUACCAUGUUACCAGGCUACCUACCAUGCUAGGAAGACGUGUAUG